GGGAGAUAGAAUGUCAUCGGAAUGCCCAUAGACAUCUAAAGCAGUGCAGUGAUUUGGAGGAAAUUAAUGUUUCUGAAAUUGUUGGAUCAUAAAGUUCAAGGGGCAAAAUAUUAGAACUUGAAGCUGGAACAAUAAGCAAGGGUCAAAUGACAGCGAUCCAGUUAGACCAUGUUGAAGACCUCAGAUUGUAUCCUUUCAGUGAUGGGAACAUCGAAACAUUUCAUCUCUCUGUUGCCCUUUCUUUGCAAAUGGGACAGACUCAGGGCAUUCAGAAUAGAAUGUUCCGCUGAGUUGUUGUGAAAACUACAGUGUAAGGAGAAGCAUGAAAAAUGCUGCAUAUGCCAUGAAACAAAGAAGCCAAGCUUGAAAUCAGAAUCUCCAACAAACCCCCAAUCAAUUGUGGCAUCCUUAGCUUGGCCGUUGAACAGCUAAGGAGAGGGAAUCACUCCAAGGGUAUUUUUUUUUUUUCUUGAGAUUUUGAAAGAGUAGAGAUGGACAUCAGAAAUAUUUGACCCAGUCCUUUUUCAAAUUGCUUUGCUGUGCUGAAACUUUUGUGUGGAUGAAAUUCACCUGAGAUGCUUGUUUAAAUGCACCUUCCUGAGCCUACCUCUACACAGGCUGAUUUAGCAGAUUUUGGAGUGGGAUCCAGAGUUCUGCUUUUUAAAGAAGAACCUCAAGAGGCCAGGAGCGGUGGCUCACGCCUGUAAUCCCAGCACUUCGGGAGGCCGAGGCGGGCGGAUCACGAGG
rnacentral:lncRNA from 1 species